rnacentral:rRNA from 1 species
CAUGGCUCAGAUUGAACGCUGGCGGUAUGCUUAACACAUGCAAGUCGAACGGUAGCAGGCCUUCGGGCGCUGACGAGUGGCGGACGGGUGAGUAACGCGUAGGAAUCUGCCUCAUAGUGGGGGACAACGUGGGGAAACUCACGCUAAUACCGCAUACGCCCUACGGGGGAAAGCGGGGGAUCUUCGGACCUCGCGCUAUGAGAUGAGCCUGCGUUAGAUUAGCUAGUUGGUAGGGUAAAGGCCUACCAAGGCGACGAUCUAUAGCUGGUCUGAGAGGACGAUCAGCCACACUGGGACUGAGACACGGCCCAGACUCCUACGGGAGGCAGCAGUGGGGAAUAUUGGACAAUGGCGCAAGCCUGAUCCAGCGAAUACCGCGUGUCGUGAAGAAGGCCUUAGGGGUUGUAAAAGG